rnacentral:misc_RNA from 1 species
GAUGAAGAACGCAGCGAAAUGCGAUACGUAAUGUGAAUUGCAGAAUUCAGUGAAUCAUCGAGUCUUUGAACGCACAUUGCGCCCCCUGGUAUUCCGGGGGGCAUGCCUGUCCGAGCGUCAUUGCUGCCCUCAAGCACGGCUUGUGUGUUGGGCCUCCGUCCUCCUCCCGGGGGACGGGCCCGAAAGGCAGCGGCGGCACCGCGUCCGGUCCUCGAGCGUAUGGGGCUUUGUCACCCGCUCUGUAGGCCCGGCCGGCGCCUGCCGACCACCAUCAAUCUUUUUUCAGGUUGACCUCGGAUCAGGUAGGGAUACCCGCUGAACUUAAGCAUAUCAAUAAGCGGAGGA